CCAGAGAGAGAUGGCAACUUUCCAAAGCCAUAGAGAGAGAGAGCACAUGUAGGCAGAGGGAGAAGGAGAAGCAGGCUCUCCGCUGAGCAGGGAGCUGGACGCGGGGCUCGAUCCCAGGACCCCAGGAUCAUGACCUGAGCUGAAGGCAGCCGCUUAACCGACUGAGCCCUCCAGGCGCCCUGAUUGAAGCUGUGGUUCUCAAAUGCCUAACGUCCCUGGAGGCUGUCACUCAGUGGAUCUGGAAGAGGGCCAGGAAAUUUGACUCUGAAAUGGCACAGCCAGACAUGGGAACCCCUGGCUUAGGCUGUCUUCCACUUAAAGGCUAGCCGACUGCAAGUCUAUACCCAGACCCGCUCAGAUCUCCUCCAGUCCAUUCUCCAGGCAGCAGACAAAUCUUACCAAGUUAUGUCCAGCUCAUCACUUUCCACUGGCUUUCCACUACCCCUGGGGUGAAGAUCCAAGCCUUUCAAAUGGCCUGUCGGAUCCUGACUGCCUCCCCUCCACCCCACCCACCGUGCUUUCCCAGCCCUGUGUUAUAGGCACACCUGCAGCCCUAUAGGUCCUCAAACUCACCAGCACCCUUCUCACCCAUCUUCUCCGCCUCUUUUUUACCUCCCCUACAGUGCUUACCCCUCUCCUUUUUCCCUUUCGCAUAAACAGCUGCUCCCUCCUCUCCUUGCAAGCUGUGCGGGAAGGCAUGUCCUGGAGUAAUGUGGAAAACAGGAAGGGAGGGAGGAGAGCACUAUCAAGCGCCAUCCCCGUGCCCUGUGCUCUUGGGUGUUUUCGCACAUUUAUCUCAAUUUACUCUCAUAAGCAUCCUGUGACCUUCUCAGGGAAGUGUGGCUUGCCCAAGGUUCCACAACCACCCAGUGGCAAAGCCAGCAAUCUGAGUUCUGUUCCUUCAGGCUCCAAAGCCUGGGGAAGAGAGCUGCAGAGCACGGGGAAGAUAAAAAGAAAGGAGGAAAGAAAAAGAAGGCCAUGAGAAUUAAACAAACAAAAAGUCCUGCAAAAAAACACAAAAACUCAACACCUAGAUGGCGGCUAUCAGGGCCUGGGUGAAUGAAAUUAUCUUCAGUCAUUUAUGCCUAGUUGACUACAAAAUAAAUAGAUCAGGAAUAGAAAGGGGCCGCUUCCAUUCUGGGCUGCCACUGGCAGUGUAUACACGAAAGCGGAGUAAAAGCAGCCCAAGCUCUAGGCCCACCUUGCCUUGCCGGGGAGCGGAGGGCCAAUGCCCCCAAACAGCCAUGCUGAGCGGGCACAGUGCGGCCACAGUGGAGCCUGCUGCGUUGACUUCACACCAGUUUCCAGCAGACCUGGCAACAUUUCUAGAGCUUGGAGUUUGCAUAAAUAAAAACGAACUCCACACUCCAAGAGGUUACUCUUGGACGUUGAAAAGUCUUAAUCAAAAUCAAUGCCAAAAUGAGGAAUGGAGCAGUUGCAACCCCCCAGGCACAGCACAGUCCUCUUCGUUUCAGACAACGGUGUCAGUGACUACCAACGAUCCACCUCUCGUUACCGACUGGAGUCACCAAGGGCCAGAAGAACUGAGCUGGAAAUGAGCCAGCAUCGUUCUUAGAAAAAUCCUGCAGAAUGGAGCUGGCUAAUCUUUUCAGUCCUUCCCAAUGCACUCAUUGCUUCCAGAGUUUUAUGAAGAUUCUUUGUAACUCCCUUUUUUGGAGAGCACAGAAGCUCCAUUUCACCAUUUUAAUUAAAAGUGAAAGAGAAAAUAAAACCAAAAUUUACUAGUAUCCCUUAUGUGCCCAGAACUGUGCUAGUGCUUAGUAAAUGUGAUAUAAUCUGUAUGUUAAUUCUAGGAGUUUAUUAUAUAAUUAUCCCCAUUUUACUUGUAUAAAACAUGAAAUUCAGAGAGGAUUGGUAACCUGCCCAAGGCCACACAGUAACAAGUGACAAGAGCUGCCUCAAAUCUUUUGUAAAAGAAGCUAAAGAAUUAAUGGAUGAAAAUGUAAUUAAGAAGCACUUUUGUAAAAUGUGCUUUUGUAAAAUGUAAUUAAUGCUUUAAAA